rnacentral:rRNA from 1 species
GGUGCUUGCAUCAUGAUUUACAUUUGAGUGAGUGGCGAACUGGUGAGUAACACGUGGGAAACCUGCCCAGAAGCGGGGGAUAACACCUGGAAACAGAUGCUAAUACCGCAUAACAACUUGGACCGCAUGGUCCGAGUUUGAAAGAUGGCUUCGGCUAUCACUUUUGGAUGGUCCCGCGGCGUAUUAGCUAGAUGGUGGGGUAACGGCUCACCAUGGCAAUGAUACGUAGCCGACCUGAGAGGGUAAUCGGCCACAUUGGGACUGAGACACGGCCCAAACUCCUACGGGAGGCAGCAGUAGGGAAUCUUCCACAAUGGACGAAAGUCUGAUGGAGCAACGCCGCGUGAGUGAAGAAGGGUUUCGGCUCGUAAAACUCUGUUGUUAAAGAAGAACAUAUCUGAGAGUAACUGUUCAGGUAUUGACGGUAUUUAACCAGAAAGCCACGGCUAACUACGUGCCAGCAGCCGCGGUAAUACGUAGGUGGCAAGCGUUGUCCGGAUUUAUUGGGCGUAAAGCGAGCGCAGGCGGUUUUUUAAGUCUGAUGUGAAAGCCUUCGGCUCAACCGAAGAAGUGCAUCGGAAACUGGGAAACUUGAGUGCAGAAGAGGACAGUGGAACUCCAUGUGUAGCGGUGAAAUGCGUAGAUAUAUGGAAGAACACCAGUGGCGAAGGCGGCUGUCUGGUCUGUAACUGACGCUGAGGCUCGAAAGUAUGGGUAGCAAACAGGAUUAGAUACCCUGGUAGUCCAUACCGUAAACGAUGAAUGCUAAGUGUUGGAGGGUUUCCGCCCUUCAGUGCUGCAGCUAACGCAUUAAGCAUUCCGCCUGGGGAGUACGGCCGCAAGGCUGAAACUCAAAGGAAUUGACGGGGGCCCGCACAAGCGGUGGAGCAUGUGGUUUAAUUCGAAGCUACGCGAAGAACCUUACCAGGUCUUGACAUACUAUGCAAAUCUAAGAGAUUAGACGUUCCCUUCGGGGACAUGGAUACAGGUGGUGCAUGGUUGUCGUCAGCUCGUGUCGUGAGAUGUUGGGUUAAGUCCCGCAACGAGCGCAACCCUUAUUAUCAGUUGCCAGCAUUAAGUUGGGCACUCUGGUGAGACUGCCGGUGACAAACCGGAGGAAGGUGGGGAUGACGUCAAAUCAUCAUGCCCCUUAUGACCUGGGCUACACACGUGCUACAAUGGAUGGUACAACGAGUUGCGAACUCGCGAGAGUAAGCUAAUCUCUUAAAGCCAUUCUCAGUUCGGAUUGUAGGCUGCAACUCGCCUACAUGAAGUCGGAAUCGCUAGUAAUCGCGGAUCAGCAUGCCGCGGUGAAUACGUUCCCGGGCCUUGUACACACCGCCCGUCACACCAUGAGA